CACGAACGCUGGCGGCGUGCCUAAUACAUGCAAGUCGAGCGCAGGAAACUGACGGAACUCUUCGGAGGGAAGGCAGUGGAAUGAGCGGCGGACGGGUGAGUAACACGUAAGGAACCUGCCUCAAGGAUUGGGAUAACUCCGAGAAAUCGGAGCUAAUACCGGAUAGUUCAACGGACCGCAUGGUCCGCUGAUGAAAGGCGCCCCGGCGUCACCUGGAGAUGGCCUUGCGGUGCAUUAGCUAGUUGGUGGGGUAACGGCCCACCAAGGCGACGAUGCAUAGCCGACCUGAGAGGGUGAUCGGCCACACUGGGACCGAGACACGGCCCAGACUCCUACGGGAGGCAGCAGUAGGGAAUCUUCCACAAUGGACGAAAGUCUGAUGGAGCAACGCCGCGUGAGUGAUGAAGGUUUUCGGAUCGUAAAACUCUGUUGUAAGGGAAGAACACGUACGAGAGGAAAUGCUCGUACCUUGACGGUACCUUACGAGAAAGCCACGGCUAACUACGUGCCAGCAGCCGCCGUAAAAC
rnacentral:rRNA from 1 species